UAUGAUUUUUAGCGUGUCUCUAUUUAUUAAUUAUGUAUUUAUGUUUUGUUUGCUGAAGAGUUGAAAUGGGUGUUGCAAUUUGAAAAUAGAAGAAGAAAAGGAAAAGGUGGUGAUGGCGACGUUUGGCUUCACGUGGGCUUAUUGGGUGAGAGAUUGUGUUCCAUGUUUUUUUGUGAAAUGAAAAGAAUUGAAAAAGGUGGGAAAUAGGAUUGUGAUGAUCUUUUUUUUGGGUCCCACCAAUGUGAUUUUGUGACCAAAAAGUUUCUGGUCUUUAUUUUCUUCACGUGGGUUAGUCUGUUAGAGUGGAGUGUGAUAUUGUUGUAUUGACAGAUAUGAUGUGAUAAGGAAGAAAAUUAUGAGGAAAGAAAUUAUGGGUUGUGGGUUCAUUGAUUAAUGAUUGUCUUUUGAUAUUUGUGUGUGGUUAGCAUUUGUUCAUGAGUAGGUGAAUUGGCCUAUUUAAUUGUGUGUUGGGUGCACUACUACGUAAGAAUGAAUACAGAGAGAGUAAGCAGAGACAGAAGAGAAAAAAUUGGAGAGAGACAGUGAGAGCCGAGAGUUAGAGAGAGAGAAACAGAGUGAGUUGAGAGAGGGACAAAGGAGCUGAGAGUUGCAGAGGAGGCCGGAGUUUGAGGAUUGAUGAUCCAUAAAUCUUUUUGAGUGUAAGGUUCUUUAUACCUUGAAUGACAUGGUACUGAAGAUGGACGGGGAUCGUAGAGACGGACUUAGGAUGAAGGGUUGGCGUGCAGGAUUUAUUUUAUUUAUUUGGAGAAUUUUUGUAUAUUUGAUAAAUUGAUUUCUGUAUAAAAGAGAGGGCAAUUUUUCGGAUCCUGGGUGUAUUUUGAUGUAUUUGUAUAUGAAUAAAUGGAGGAUUUUAUUAGAA